rnacentral:rRNA from 1 species
AGUCGAGCGCCCCGCAAGGGGAGCGGCAGACGGGUGAGUAACGCGUGGGAAUCUACCGUGCCCUACGGAAUAGCUCCGGGAAACUGGAAUUAAUACCGUAUACGCCCUACGGGGGAAAGAUUUAUCGGGGUAUGAUGAGCCCGCGUUGGAUUAGCUAGUUGGUGGGGUAAAGGCCUACCAAGGCGACGAUCCAUAGCUGGUCUGAGAGGAUGAUCAGCCACAUUGGGACUGAGACACGGCCCAAACUCCUACGGGAGGCAGCAGUGGGGAAUAUUGGACAAUGGGCGCAAGCCUGAUCCAGCCAUGCCGCGUGAGUGAUGAAGGUCUUAGGAUUGUAAAGCUCUUUCACCGGUGAAGAUAAUGACGGUAACCGGAGAAGAAGCCCCGGCUAACUUCGUGCCAGCAGCCGCGGUAAUACGAAGGGGGCUAGCGUUGUUCGGAAUUACUGGGCGUAAAGCGCACGUAGGCGGAUAUUUAAGUCAGGGGUGAAAUCCCAGAGCUCAACUCUGGAACUGCCUUUGAUACUGGGUAUCUUGAGUAUGGAAGAGGUGAGUGGAAUUCCGAGUGUAGAGGUGAAAUUCGUAGAUAUUCGGAGGAACACCAGUGGCGAAGGCGGCUCACUGGUCCAUUACUGACGCUGAGGUGCGAAAGCGUGGGGAGCAAACAGGAUUAGAUACC